AUGUGGACCUGUCUUCGUCAGCGCUAUGAGCCCUCUGGUGAUGCCUUAUACCUUUCUGUGGUUCGUCAGGAGCAUGCUCUUCAGCAGGGUGACUCUACUGUUGAUGACUUUUAUGCACAGAGUUCUGCUAUCUGGCGCCAGCUUGAUUCUCUCCGCAGUGCUGGUUGUCGUACUUGCCCCUGCUGCCAGGCUGUCCAGGCCAACUUGGAGUUUCAUCGCGUCUACGAGUUCCUGUCUCGGCUCCGUAAGGAGUUUGAGCCCCGGCGUGCUCAGUUGUUUGCUCGUGGCCGUAUUUCUCUCAUGGAGGCGCUUUCAGAGAUUCGUGCUGAGGAGACUCGCUUACGUGGUGCUGGUUUGCUAGAGGUUCCCUCUGUGCUCGCUACUCGGGCUUCUUCCACUCCACCUGCUGCACCGCCACAUUCUCGCUCGAGUGCUCCGCCGCUCUUGCCCACUCCUUCUGGAGGCUCAGGUCGCCCCCGUUCACAUUGUGACUACUGCAACAAUGAUGGUCAUAUUGAGUCCCAGUGCUACACAAAGCGGAAACACCUGCGCAAGGCGCGAUCAUCCUCCUCAGGGACUUCGUCA
rnacentral:rRNA from 1 species